GGCGGAGGUGGUGGGGGUCCACCCCCAGGAGGGCUAGGAGCACCAGGAACACCAGGGGGAGGUGGAGGAGGAGGACCUCGACCAACGGGAGGAGGUGGAGGAGGAGGACCUCGACCACCAGGAGGAGGUGGUCCUUGACCACCCGGAGGUGGUGGUGGAGGUGGUGCUCCAUACAUUGGAGGGGGUGGAGGAGGUGGUCCUCUCCCACCAGGAGGUGGUGGUGGUGGAGGUGGGAGAAGUGGGGCUCGACCACCAGGAGGAGGUGGGGCUCCAUACAUUGGAGGAGGUGGAGGAGGUGGUCCUCUCCCACUAGGAGGUGGUGGUGGUGGAGGUGGUGCUCCAUACAUUGGAGGAGGUGGGGGAGGUGGAGCUCCACUUGAUGGACGAAGGGGUGGUGGAGGUGGAGGUGGGGCUCCACUUGAUGGAGGAAGAGGUGGCGGUGGGGGAGGGGGGGCUCUAGACAAUGGAGGAGGUGGUGGAGGGGGAGGUGUAGGUGGAGCUCUAUGUAAUGUAGGAGGCGGUGGUGGUGGAGCUUGCCUAAAAGGAGGUGGAGGUGGAGGUGGUGGAGAUGGAGGUAGUGAAGCUUUACCAAAAGGAGGGGGAGGUGGCGGUGGAGGUACAGGUGGUGGAGCUAAAUAUAUAUAUGAAUUAGCUAAGGGUGGUAGAAGGGGAGGCAGAGAUGGAGAUGGAGGUGGGGGUGCUGGUGGAGGUGAAGCUUUAUGUGAUGCAAACGGAGGU
rnacentral:lncRNA from 1 species